rnacentral:rRNA from 1 species
UACGAAGGGUGCAAACGUUGCUCGGAAUUACUGGGCGUAAAGGGCGCGUAGGCGGACAGUUUAGUCAGAGGUGAAAGCCCAGGGCUCAACCUUGGAAUUGCCUUUGAUACUGGCUGUCUUGAGUUCGGGAGAGGUGAGUGGAAUGCCGAGUGUAGAGGUGAAAUUCGUAGAUAUUCGGCGGAACACCAGUGGCGAAGGCGACUCACUGGCCCGAUACUGACGCUGAGGCGCGAAAGCGUGGGGAGCAAACAGG